rnacentral:rRNA from 1 species
GCUCAGAAACUUAAAGGAAGUUGACGGGGGCCCGGCACAAGCGGUGGAGUAUGUGGUUAAUUCGAUGCAACGCGAAGAACCUUACCUGGUCUUGACAUCCCGGAGACCCUUAGGAAACUAGGGGGUGCUUCCAUCUGGAAGAAUCUGGAGACAGGUGCUGCAUGGCUGUCGUCAGCUCGUGUCGUGAGAUGUUGGGUUAAGUCCCGCAACGAGCGCAACCCUUGCCUUUAGUUGCCAGCAGUUCGGCUGGGCACUCUAAAGGGACUGCCGGUGUUAAACCGGAGGAAGGUGGGGAUGACGUCAAGUCCUCAUGGCCUUUAUGACCAGGGCUACACACGUACUACAAUGGCCGAUACAAAGGGCAGCGACACUGCGAGGUGAAGCCAAUCCCGUAAAAUCGGUCUCAGUCCGGAUUGGAGUCUGCAACUCGACUCCAUGAAGUUGGAAUCGCUAGUAAUCGUGGAUCAGCAUGCCACGGUAAAUACGUUCCCGGGCCUU